rnacentral:rRNA from 1 species
CUAGCCUCAAGUGAUGAUUAUUGGAGGUAGAGCACUGUUUGGACGAGGGGCCCCUCUCGGGUUACCGAAUUCAGACAAACUCCGAAUGCCAAUUAAUUUAACUUGGGAGUCAGAACAUGGGUGAUAAGGUCCGUGUUCGAAAGGGAAACAGCCCAGACCACCAGCUAAGGUCCCAAAAUAUAUGUUAAGUGGAAAAGGAUGUGGCGUUGCCCAGACAACUAGGAUGUUGGCUUAGAAGCAGCCAUCAUUUAAAGAGUGCGUAAUAGCUCACUAGUCGAGUGACACUGCGCCGAAAAUGUACCGGGGCUAAACAUAUUACCGAAGCUGUGGAUUGUCCUUUGGACAAUGGUAGGAGAGCGUUCUAAGGGCGUUGAAGCAUGAUCGUAAGGACAUGUGGAGCGCUUAGAAGUGAGAAUGCCGGUGUGAGUAGCGAAAGACGGGUGAGAAUCCCGUCCACCGAUUGACUAAGGUUUCCAGAGGAAGGCUCGUCCGCUCUGGGUUAGUCGGGUCCUAAGCUGAGGCCGACAGGCGUAGGCGAUGGAUAACAGGUUGAUAUUCCUGUACCACCUAUAAUCGUUUUAAUCGAUGGGGGGACGCAGUAGGAUAGGCGAAGCGUGCGAUUGGAUUGCACGUCUAAGCAGUAAGGCUGAGUAUUAGGCAAAUCCGGUACUCGUUAAGGCUGAGC